rnacentral:piRNA from 1 species
UGCCCAGGCUGGAGUGCAGUGCUGCG